rnacentral:lncRNA from 1 species
UCACUGUUGAAGGGUUUUGCUCGAGCCGAUGUGGGACUCACGGGUCUGCUCUGAGCUCGAUUAAUGGCCGCCAAGGUAACGGGAAAGUCUCCAAGUUCGCUUACAUCUGGGUUGGUAACUCCGAGACUCAGUGUCCGGGUCAAUGCGCCUGGCCAUUCCACCAACCCAUCUACGGGCCACAGACCCCGCCUUUGGUGGCUCCCAACAACGAUGUGGGUCUUGAUGGAAUGGUGAUCAAUUUUGCCAGUCUCUUGGCUGGGACCGCGACCAACC